CGCGUAGGCGGUUUACACAGUCAGAUGUGAAAUUCCAGGGCUUAACCUUGGGGCUGCAUUUGAUACGUGUAGACUAGAGUGUGAGAGAGGGUUGUGGAAUUCCCAGUGUAGAGGUGAAAUUCGUAGAUAUUGGGAAGAACACCGGUGGCGAAGGCGGCAACCUGGCUCAUUACUGACGCUGAGGCACGAAGGCCAGGGGAGCAAACGGGAUUAGAUACCCGUGUA
rnacentral:rRNA from 1 species